AACAGGCAACACGGGAGUCCCGGGAACGGGGGCUGAGAGUGGGCGUACGUACCAGCCCUUACCGUCACACCUGAUCCGGGUCAUGCCGGCGAAGGGAGGAGAUGAAAUGGCCCC
rnacentral:ncRNA from 2 species